rnacentral:rRNA from 1 species
UACGGAGGAUCCGAGCGUUAUCCGGAUUUAUUGGGUUUAAAGGGUGCGCAGGCGGGAGAUUAAGUCGGCGGUGAAAUUUUGCAGCUCAACUGUAAAAGUGCCUUCGAAACUGGUUUCCUUGAGUGUAGAUGAAGUAGGCGGAAUUUGUGGUGUAGCGGUGAAAUGCAUAGAUAUCACGAGGAACUCCGAUUGCGCAGGCAGCUUACUAAACCAUAACUGACGCUCAAGCACGAAGGCGUGGGGAUCAAACAGGAUUAGAUACCCCCGUAGUCCCU